rnacentral:rRNA from 1 species
AUACGGAGGGUGCAAGCGUUGUUCGGAUUUAUUGGGCGUAAAGCGAGUGUAGGCGGCUUAACAAGUCGGAUGUGAAAUCCCGGGGCCCAACCCCGGAACUGCAUCCGAUACUGUCAGGCUAGAGUCCCGGAGAGGGUGGCGGAAUUCCCGGUGUAGGGGUGAAAUCCGUAGAUAUCGGGAGGAACACCAGUGGCGAAGGCGGCCACCUGGACGGUGACUGACGCUGAGACGCGAAAGCGUGGGGAGCAAACAGGAUUAGAAACCCUGGUAGUCC